AUUGAACGCUGGCGGCAUGCCUUACACAUGCAAGUCGAACGACGCCAGGGGGCAACUCCUGGCGAGUGGCGAACGGGUGAGUAAUACAUCGGAACGUGUCCUGUCGUGGGGGAUAACCAGUCGAAAGACUGGCUAAUACCGCAUGAGAUCGAGAGAUGAAAGCGGGGGACCCGCAAGGGCCUCGCGCGACUCGAGCGGCCGAUGUCGGAUUAGCUAGUUGGCGGGGUAAUGGCCCACCAAGGCGACGAUCCGUAGCUGGUUUGAGAGAACGACCAGCCACACUGGGACUGAGACACGGCCCAGACUCCUACGGGGGGCAGCAGUGGGGAAUUUUGGACAAUGGGCGCAAGCCUGAUCCAGCCAUGCCGCGAGUGUGAAGAAGGCCUUCGGGUUGUAAAGCACUUUCGGACGGAACGAAAUCGCGCGGGUGAACAAUCCGCGUGGAUGACGGUACCGCAAGAAGAAGCACCGGCUAACUACGUGCCAGCAGCCGCAGUAA
rnacentral:rRNA from 1 species